rnacentral:rRNA from 1 species
UACGUAGGGUGCAAGCGUUGUCCGGAAUUAUUGGGCGUAAAGAGCUCGUAGGCGGUCUGUCGCGUCUGGUGUGAAAACUCAGGGCUUAACCCUGAGCUUGCAUCGGGUACGGGCAGACUAGAGUGUGCUAGGGGAGACUGGAAUUCCUGGUGUAGUGGUGAAAUGCGCAGAUAUCAGGAGGAACACCGGUGGCGAAGGCGGGUCUCUGGGGCAUAACUGACGCUGAGGAGCGAAAGCAUGGGGAGCGAACAGG